CCUACGGGUGGCUGCAGUGAGGAAUAUUGGUCAAUGGGCGCGAGCCUGAACCAGCCAAGUCGCGUGAGGGAUGACGGCCCUAUGGAUUGUAAACUUCUUUUGUAAAGGAAUAAAACGAGGCACGCGUGCCUUUUUGCAUGUACUUUAUGAAAAAGGAUCGGCUAACUCCGUGCCAGCAGCCGCGGUAAUACGGAGGAUCCGAGCGUUAUCCGGAUUUAUUGGGUUUAAAGGGAGCGUAGAUGGGUUGUUAAGUCAGGUGUGAAAUUUUGCGGCUCAACCGUAAAAGUGCAAUUGAUACUGGCAGUCUUGAGUACAGGUGAGGUAGGCGGAAUGCGUGGUGUAGCGGUGAAAUGCAUAGAUAUCACGAAGAACCCCGAUUGCGAAGGCAGCUUACUAAACUGUGACUGACAUUGAUGCACGAAAGUGUGGGUAUCAAACAGGAUUAGAUACCCUGGUAGUC
rnacentral:rRNA from 1 species